rnacentral:lncRNA from 1 species
AAUACUGAGCCUUCAUUCAAACUAAAAGGCUGGAAGGGAGGCAGCUGCCUUUGUUUGCCAUGGAUGGGUAGGGGCUGCACUGAGCAGCACCGGUGUUCUUCAUCCGGCUGCACCCCCAACAGAGCUCUUUCUUCCCCAGAUCCCUUUUACAGUUGGAUUCUCCCUCUUGGAUCUGGCUCUGCCUUAGUCCGACCUAGAGGGAUCAGCUUCGCCCACGCCCACUCUCACCCGGAACCUUUCAUCUCUUAUUGAAGCCUUUUAGGCCCAUUGGGAUGUUCAUUAGAACUCUGAAAACUACAGUUCUCCCCUUUAUGAGGACUGCACCACAGCUCGCCCUCUCCUGGGUUCCGCCUGGUUGCAGAGUGAGCCCAUGGGACAGCCCUCUGAAAUUAUACUGCUUACAACCAUGCUGAGUCUGCAAGGACUUCGUCCAAGCCUUUCCGUCCAGGACCUCAAACAGAUCCAAUCACAAGAAGAGAGAUUUCAGGAAAGAGAAAAUUAUUCCUAUCAUCGGGGUUUUUGAAGAACAUGAAAUGACUGGGAAAAUAAUCAUGUUAAGUGGAAAAAAAAAAGAAAUCUAUCUGUUGUAAUUUUCAAAUAAUUUUUAAAUAAAUUUGAAAAAU